rnacentral:rRNA from 1 species
CCUACGGGAGGCAGCAGUAGGGAAUCUUCCACAAUGGGCGAAAGCCUGAUGGAGCAACGCCGCGUGAGUGAUGAAGGCCUUCGGGUUGUAAAACUCUGUCAUUCGGGACGAACCGGAGUCUGAGGAAAUGCAGACUCUCUGACGGUACCGGAGGAGGAAGCCCCGGCUAACUACGUGCCAGCAGCCGCGGUAAUACGUAGGGGGCAAGCGUUGUCCGGAUUCACUGGGCGUAAAGCGCGCGCAGGCGGUGAUGUAAGUCUGAGGUGAAAACCCGAAGCUCAACUUCGGGACUGCCUUGGAUACUGCGUCACUUGAGGAUAGGAGAGGCAAGGGGAAUUCCACGUGUAGCGGUGAAAUGCGUAGAGAUGUGGAGGAACACCUGCGGCGAAGGCGCCUUGCUGGCCUAUUUCUGACGCUGAGGCGCGAAAGCGUGGGGAGCAAACAGGAUUAGAUACCCUGGUAGUCCACGCUGUAAACGAUGAGUGCUAGGUGUAGGUGGGCUCAUACCCAUCUGUGCCGAAGCUAACGCAUUAAGCACUCCGCCUGGGGAGUACGGUCGCAAGACUGAAACUCAAAGGAAUUGACGG